rnacentral:snoRNA from 1 species
UAGGCAUCUCUGAGGACCUGGAGCAGUUAAUGUCUGCUGCUGAGGUUUCCACUACACACCCAAGGACUCUGUAAGAAGGCCCUUGUACUUUCUGUCUGUCUGGUUGCGGCAGCCAAGAUGGAAUGGGGGAAUACAGGA